AGAGUUUGAUCCUGGCUCAGAGCGAACGCUGGCGGCAUGCCUAACACAUGCAAGUCGCACGGUCGGGGGCAACCUUGGCAGUGGCGGACGGGUGAGGAACGCGUAGGGAUCUAUCCAUGGGUGGGGGACAACCGCGGGAAACUGCGGCUAAUACCGCAUGACGAGCGUGCUUGAGAGAGCAUGUUCCAAAGCUUUCACGAGCGCCUGUGGCGGAGCCUGCGUCCGAUUAGCUAGUUGGUGGGGUAACGGCCUACCAAGGCUUCGAUCGGUAGCUGGUCUGAGAGGAUGAUCAGCCACACUGGGACUGAGACACGGCCCAGACUCCUACGGGAGGCAGCAGUGGGGAAUAUUGGACAAUGGGCGCAAGCCUGAUCCAGCAAUGCCGCGUGGGUGAAGAAGGUCUUCGGAUUGUAAAGCCCUUUCGGCGGGGACGAUGAUGACGGUACCCGCAGAAGAAGCCCCGGCUAACUUCGUGCCAGCAGCCGCGGUAAUACGAAGGGGGCUAGCGUUGCUCGGAAUGACUGGGCGUAAAGGGCGCGUAGGCGGAUCGGAUAGUCAGGCGUGAAAUUCCUGGGCUCAACCUGGGGGGCUGCGCUUGAUACGUUUGGUCUAGAGUGGGGAAGAGGGUCGUGGAAUUCCCAGUGUAGAGGUGAAAUUCGUAGAUAUUGGGAAGAACACCGGUGGCGAAGGCGGCGACCUGGUCCUUGACUGACGCUGAGGCGCGAAAGCGUGGGGAGCAAACAGGAUUAGAUACCCUCGUAGUCC
rnacentral:rRNA from 1 species